rnacentral:rRNA from 1 species
CCUACGGGAGGCAGCAGUGGGGAAUAUUGCACAAUGGGGGAAACCCUGAUGCAGCGACGCCGCGUGAGUGAAGAAGUAAUUCGUUAUGUAAAGCUCUAUCAGCAGGGAAGAAAAUGACGGUACCUGAGUAAGACGCCCCGGCUAACUAGGUGCCAGCAGGCGCGGUAAUAAGUAGGGGGCAAGCGUUAUCCGGAUUUACUGGGUGUAAAGGGAGCGUAGACGGCAAUGCAAGUCUGGAGUGAAAGGCGGGGGCUCAACCCCCGGACUGCUCUGGAAACUGUACGGCUGGAGUGCAGGAGAGGUAAGUGGAAUUCCUAGUGUAGCGGUGAAAUGCGUAGAUAUUAGGAGGAACACCAGUGGCGAAGGCGGCUUACUGGACUGUAACUGACGUUGAGGCUCGAAAGCGUGGGGAGCAAACAGGAUUAGAUACCCCAGUAGUC